rnacentral:snRNA from 1 species
GGAUGUGAGGGCGAUCUGGCUGGGAAAUCUGUCACCCCAUUGAUCACCAGGGUUGAUUUGGCUGAUCUGGCUGACUAGGGAGGUGUCUCCUUCCUCUCUCACUGCUCCAUGUGCGUUCCUCCUGAAGCUGCACCCUAGGUUGAAGAGGAUGACCAUCCCCAAUAGAGGAGGACUGGUCUUCAAAGGUAUACGAGUAGCUGCACUCCCUUGCUAGAACCUCCAAACAAGCUCUCAAGACAAUAUUAAAAGAAAAUACUAAAAAAUGCAAAUAAUUGGAUCUUGAGUAUCUGGUUAUAAAAAGAUAUAUAUAAAUAUAUAAACAUGUAUAUACCUUUUUUAUUU